rnacentral:rRNA from 2 species
GUGCUAAUACAUGCAAGUCGAGCGAACUGAUUAGAAGCUUGCUUCUAUGACGUUAGCGGCGGACGGGUGAGUAACACGUGGGCAACCUGCCUGUAAGACUGGGAUAACUUCGGGAAACCGAAGCUAAUACCGGAUAGGAUCUUCUCCUUCAUGGGAGAUGAUUGAAAGAUGGUUUCGGCUAUCACUUACAGAUGGGCCCGCGGUGCAUUAGCUAGUUGGUGAGGUAACGGCUCACCAAGGCAACGAUGCAUAGCCGACCUGAGAGGGUGAUCGGCCACACUGGGACUGAGACACGGCCCAGACUCCUACGGGAGGCAGCAGUAGGGAAUCUUCCGCAAUGGACGAAAGUCUGACGGAGCAACGCCGCGUGAGUGAUGAAGGCUUUCGGGUCGUAAAACUCUGUUGUUAGGGAAGAACAAGUACAAGAGUAACUGCUCGUACCUUGACGGUACCUAACCAGAAAGCCACGGCUAACUACGUGCCAGCAGCCGCGGUAAUACGUAGGUGGCAAGCGUUAUCCGGAAUUAUUGGGCGUAAAGCGCGCGCAGGCGGUUUCUUAAGUCUGAUGUGAAAGCCCACGGCUCAACCGUGGAGGGUCAUUGGAAACUGGGGAACUUGAGUGCAGAAGAGAAAAGCGGAAUUCCACGUGUAGCGGUGAAAUGCGUAGAGAUGUGGAGGAACACCAGUGGCGAAGGCGGCUUUUUGGUCUGUAACUGACGCUGAGGCGCGAAAGCG